UGGGGUAUAUUGGACAAUGGGCGCAAGCCUGAUCCAGCCAUGCCGCGUGAGUGAAGAAGGCCCUAGGGUUGUAGAGCUCUUUCAGCGGGGAAGAUGAUGACGGUACCCGCAGAAGAAGCCCCGGCUAACUCCGUGCCAGCAGCCGCGGUAAUACGGAGGGGGCAAGCGUUGUUCAGAAUUACUGGGCGUAAAGGGCGCGUAGGCGGGGUAUCCAGUUAGGGGUGAAAGCCCGGGGCUCAACCUCGGAACUGCCUUUAAAACUGAUACUCUAGAGUCCGGAAGAGGGUCGCGGAAUUCCCAGUGUAGAGGUGAAAUUCGUAGAUAUUGGGAAGAACACCGGUGGCGAAGGCGGCGACCUGGUCCGGUACUGACGCUGAGGCGCGAAAGCGUGGGGAGCAAACAGGAUUAGAUACCCGUGUAGUCC
rnacentral:rRNA from 1 species